UACAGAGGUCCCAAGCGUUGUUCGGAUUCACUGGGCGUAAAGGGUGCGUAGGUGGUCGGGUAAGUCUGAUGUGAAAUCUCUGGGCUCAACCCAGAAAUGGCAUUGGAUACUAUCCGGCUAGAGGAUCGGAGGGGGGACUGGAAUUCUCGGUGUAGCAGUGAAAUGCGUAGAUAUCGAGAGGAACACCAGUGGCGAAGGCGAGUCCCUGGACGAUACCUGACACUGAGGCACGAAAGCUAGGGGAGCAAACAGGAUUAGAAACCCCCGUAGUCC
rnacentral:rRNA from 1 species